rnacentral:rRNA from 1 species
CCUACGGGUGGCAGCAGUGGGGAAUAUUGGACAAUGGGGGGAACCCUGAUCCAGCCAUGCCGCGUGUGUGAAGAAGGCCCUCGGGGUGUAAAGCACUUUCAGUGAGGAAGAACGCCUGGUGGUUAAUACCCAUCAGGAAAGACAUCACUCACAGAAGAAGCACCGGCUAACUCCGUGCCAGCAGCCGCGGUAAUACGGAGGGUGCGAGCGUUAAUCGGAAUUACUGGGCGUAAAGCGCGCGUAGGUGGCUUGAUAAGCCGGUUGUGAAAGCCCCGGGCUCAACCUGGGAACGGCAUCCGGAACUGUCAAGCUAGAGUGCAGGAGAGGAAGGUAGAAUUCCCGGUGUAGCGGUGAAAUGCGUAGAGAUCGGGAGGAAUACCAGUGGCGAAGGCGGCCUUCUGGACUGACACUGACACUGAGGUGCGAAAGCGUGGGUAGCAAACAGGAUUAGAUACCCGUGUAGUA